UACGGGGGGGGGCAAGCGUUGUUCGGAAUUACUGGGCGUAAAGGGCUCGUAGGCGGCCCAACUAAGUCGGAUGUGAAAUCCCCCAAGCUUAACUUGGGAACUGCAUCCGAUACUGGAUGGCUUGAAUCCGGGAGAGGGAUGCAGAAUUCCAGGUGUAGCGGUGAAAAUGCGUAGAUAUCUGGAGGAAUACCGGUGGCGAAGGCGGCAUCCUGGACCGGCAUUGACGCUGAGGAGCGAAAAGCUAGGGGGAGCAAACGGG
rnacentral:rRNA from 1 species